CACGAGGUGUUCAGGAAGAGCCACCCCUUCUCCAAAGACCCGCAGAGGAAGGGGAGCAGCUGUGUGGCUGUCUGAGUGGUGGGAAUCCGGCAGAGGGAAGAGGGAGCAGCAGGGACCCAGUGAGGUUCUCUGCCAAGUGGUGGGGAAGAGAGGAAGUCAGGACGAGAAAGCUCACCAUCUCCAGGAAAUGAACACCAGAGAACAUCUCCACCAUCUUAAGCGGCAGAAAAGCUGAAAGGCGUAAGAGGAACGAUAAUGUGCUAUGGGCCACAUAUUCACAGCAGUUGUUGGUAACCCAGGCCGACCUGUCCGUCAGAAUCACUGGAGCUGCGAUACUGCACCACCCUAUGGCAUCUGGUCCACCUGGUGGGGCCUGGACAUCUGCAAUUUUUAGUGCCCUGGAGAUCCCAGGAGGCAGCAAGGAAGAGACCACAAUCUACAACCUCUCAGGAACACUGUAGGAUGAACUGGCCAACAGGGCAGACACCCAGAAGAUACAACCAUCAUCUGUCUCAUGGAAGCCACUGUUGGGGCCUUGGGCACAGCCGCUGAGCCUUUAAUCUGGCCAAUAUACACUUUGCCCAGGAAGCCACUGGAGGACGUGUUCCACCUAAACUAGUGAAGAGGAAAAUCAACAAUCUGUGAACCAGAGCAUCCAACUGAGGAGAGCUGUGCAGAGCAGGUGCAAGGAACGAGCAGUCCAACUUGAAGUGGGCGGAGGAUGGCUCUCUCCAGGGAACGCAUACUGAGCGGCUACCUGUUGUAGACGAGAAGGCACCCACUUCAGAGGAGGCCGAGGAGGACAGCGGGCAAGGAAGACCCUCUGGAGAACGGAUGGGCUGAGGAGCCCCCGACCCUGUCACCCAGAGAGCAGGCCCCCUGUGAGCACAUCAGUCCUGGGAACAUGCUGCCUUCCUGCCAAAGGGGCGUGAGCAGAAGUGCCACCUGCUGUUUUCAGGCCCAGCCCAUCCAAACCUCCGCUGUGUGAGCCCCUGUGCUCUUUCCCCUUCUGAGGUAACCCAGAAAGCUGCCAGAGGCAGGGCUACAAAACGGAGUCCACCUUAUUUGCAGGACACCCCCUGAUUUGGAACACCCGGUUUGGACUUUAUGAGAAAUAAACCUCUACUAAGUUAGGCACUAGGACUUUAGGGUUUAGCAGCUUGAGAGGCCACCACAGAUGGCACUGAUUAACACAGUGCCAUGUGUGUGAACCUCAACCUCAUGACAAUGUCCAGAACCUGAGCAAGGUCUCCAGGGCAGCAACGGGAGAGGUCAUAAACACACACAAAAUUCCCUUUACUGUGAUUCCAGCCAAGGAGACAGAGGCAGAGAGAUUAACCCUCAUGGGGCAGAGGUGGGAUUCAGACCUGGGCAGUCCAACUCCAGACAACGUGCCACUCACCACCCUGCCUCUGCCUCCUUACACUUCGCUCCCUCCCCAGAACAAAUGCUGAUGGGCUCAGGAUGAUGGGGCCUGGUCAGGUCCUGGGAGACCUCAGAUGGACAUCGAGCACUCUCAGGGGCAGCCGGGCAGGGGCUGACCACAGGGAGGCAGAGCGUGGGCCCAGCCCAGCAACCAGAGCCGGGCUUCUUUGUCACAAACCCGACAGCCCUCAAAUGGCUCCAGGUGGCCAAAGAGUCCCUACAUAGUCAAAGCUGGACAUCUGACAGCCAUGGAUCAAACAGUUCAAGGAUUUAUCCCCAGACACGGAACUACAGGAUCCCGGGGGGCCCUGCCAAGGUGAGGACAGAGCAGUUGCCUGCAUGCCCCCCACACCCUCACUCUGCUGGGUUCCCAGCCGGUCCUACAGGUUGCACACUUGUGGGAACGCAAACCAAAGCUGAGAGAGUCCAGUGGAGCUCUCCUAAUGGAUGGCACGAGUUUGGACCCAAGAAGUUAAGAAUAAAUGUGAAUAUAAAACCUGACACAAAAACUGGGGUAUCU